rnacentral:rRNA from 1 species
GAUGAACGCUAGCUACAGGCUUAACACAUGCAAGUCGCGGGGCAGCAUGGGGGUUGCUUGCAAUCCCCGAUGGCGACCGGCGCACAGGUGAGUAACGCGUAUCCAACCUGCCCUUCACCACGGGAUAACCCGGCGAAAGUCGGACUAAUACCGUAUGUUGUCCAUUGACGGCAUCCGAUUUGGACGAAAGGUUUGGCGGUGAAGGAUGGGGAUGCGUCCGAUUAGCUGGACGGCGGGGUGACGGCCCACCGUGGCGACGAUCGGUAGGGGUUCUGAGAGGAAGGUCCCCCACACUGGAACUGAGACACGGUCCAGACUCCUACGGGAGGCAGCAGUGAGGAAUAUUGGUCAAUGGGCGUAAGCCUGAACCAGCCAAGUAGCGUGCAGGAUGACGGCCCUAUGGGUUGUAAACUGCUUUUAUGCGGGGAUAAAGUGGCCCACGUGUGGGUUUUUGCAGGUACCGCAUGAAUAAGGACCGGCUAAUUCCGUG